UCCGGCAUAACUCCGGGAAACUGGAAAUAAUUCCGGAUAACGCACAUAUGCUGGAAUGCUUUAUGCGUAAAAUGGAUUCGUCUGCCCAAGGAUGGGUCUGCGGCCUAUCAGGUAGUAGUGGGUGUAAUGUACCUACUAGCCUACGACGGGUACGGGUUGUGAGAGCAAGAGCCCGGAGAUGGAUUCUGAGACAUGAAUCCAGGCCCUACGGGGCGCAGCAGGCGCGAAAACUUUACAAUGCGGGAAACCGUGAUAAGGGGACACCGAGUGCCAGCAUCAUGUGCUGGCUGUCCAGGUGUGUAAAAUACACCUGUUAGCAAGGGCCGGGCAAGACCGGUGCCAGCCGCCGCGGUAACACCGGCGGCCCGAGUGGUGAUCGUGAUUAUUGGGUCUAAAGGGUCCGUAGCCGGUUUGGUCAGUCCUCCGGGAAAUCUGAUAGCUCAACUAUUAGCUUUCGGANGAUACUGCCAGACUUGGAGCCGGGAGAGGUAAGAGGUACUACAGGGGUAGGAGUGAAAUCUUGUAAUCCCUGUGGGACCACCUGUGGCGAAGGCGUCUUACCAGAACGGGUUCGACGGUGAGGGACGAAAGCUGGGGGCACGAACCGGAUUAGAUACCCGGGUAGUCCCAGCCGUAAACGAUGCUCGCUAGGUGUCAGGCAUGGCGCGACCGUGUCUGGUGCCGCAGGGAAGCCGUGAAGCGAGCCACCUGGGAAGUACGGCCGCAAGGCUGAAA
rnacentral:rRNA from 1 species